GAUGAACGCUGGCGGCGUGCCUAAUACAUGCAAGUCGAGCGAACAGACGAUGAGCUUGCUCCUCUGACGUUAGCGGCGGACGUGUGAGUAACACGUGUAUAACCUACCUAUAAGUCUGGGAUAACUUCGGGAAACCGGAGCUAAUACCGGAUAAUAUAUUGAACCGCAUGGUUCAAUAGUGAAAGACGUUUUUUCUUUCACUUAUAGAUGGAUCCGCGCCGCAUUAGCUAGUUGGUAAGGUAACUGCUUACCAAGGCGACGAUGCGUAGCCGACAUGAGAGGGUGAUCGGCCACACUGGAAGUGAGACACGGACCAGACUACGACGGGAGGGAGCAGUAGGGAAGCUUCCGCAAUGGGCGAAAGGCUGACGGAGCAACGCCGCGUGAGUGAUGAAGGUCUUGGGAUCGUAAAACUCUGUUAUUAGGGAAGAACAAAUGUGUAAGUAAAUAUGCACGUAUUGACGGUAACUAAUAAGAAAGCAACGGCUAACUACGUG
rnacentral:rRNA from 1 species